AUGCAUGCAUGCAUGUUACAUAUUUGAAAAUGUAUUUUUAACCUUUAUGCAGAUAUCUGUGGAGGGAAUUAAUGAAUUUCAUAAGUUUACGAUGAAUUUGUACUUACAAAUAACAAAUGAAUAAUGUCUUUCAAAACUAAUAUGUUAAUUGCCAAACUAUAAUGCCUCCCAGAACACUAAUAUAUGAUCAUAUGACACGAACAUCACCAACAUUUUCAAAUCUUUAUCUUCCAGGAAGUUACCAAUAGGCAUGCUCAGUCGUUUUAUGUAGUUUCUUGCAAUGCUCUUGCAAACAUAUAAAAU
rnacentral:lncRNA from 1 species